AUUAAAGUGGCAGAAAAAUGCAAGGAAUUUAAGCUUCCUAAAUGAAAGUUCCUUUAAUA
rnacentral:tRNA from 1 species